rnacentral:rRNA from 1 species
GAUAGAGGUCACCCCUUGUGUUUGUUACUUUGUUGAUUUGGCCAGGUGCCUUCGGGCCUUGUAUGCUCGCCAGAGAAUACCAAAACUCUUUUUAUUAAUGUUUUCUGAGUACCAUUUAAUAGUUAAAACUUUCCCAACGGAUCUCUUGGUUCUGGCAUCCAUGAAAAACGCAGCGAAAUGCGAUAAAUAAUGGGAAUUGCAGAAUUCAGUGAAACUUCAAAACUUUGAACGCUCAUUGCGCCCCUUGGUUUCCGGGGGGCAUGCCUGUUCGAGCGUCAUUUGACCCUCAGCUUAGCUUGGGAUUGAGUCUAUGUCAUUAAUGGCUCGCUCUAAAAUCAAUGGCGGAGCCUCUGUAUUCUGAGGGUAGUAAUAUCUGUCGGUACGCGUUCUCGGUGUGCUUCUGCCAAAAACCACAUUUUGCUGUGAGUGAUAUCCUAUCGGGUAUGGACUCUGUCAUGAUCCAGGAACAUUACAAAGUUCAUGCCCGAAAGGGUAGACCUCCCACCCUGAGUAUUAAUACUUGUUGCUUUGGCGAGCUGGCUUUGGGGCUUGUAUGCUCGCAACGAAUACAAA